AUGGCCGCAGACGCCGCCGGUGACCUCGGCCGGGCCGAUUUCGACGUGAUCGUGGUGGGCGCGGGCAUCAUGGGCAGCUGCGCGGCGCACGCGGCGGCGUGCCGCGGCUCCCGGGUCCUCCUCCUCGAGCGCUUCGACCUGCUCCACCACCUCGGCUCCUCGCACGGCCACUCCCGCACCAUCCGCGACGCCUACCCGAAGGCGCGCUACCCGCCCAUGGUCCGCCUCGCCCGCCGCCUCUGGGGCGACGCCCAGGCCGACGCCGGCUACCGCGUGCUCACCCCGUCGCCGCACCUCGCCAUGGGCCCGCGCAGCAACGCCGCGCUCCUCGCCGCCGUCGGGAACGGGGGCGCCGCGGAGGUGGACGUGGCCGGGAGGUGGGGAGGCGGCGUGUUCCGCGUCCCGGACGGGUGGGUGACGGCCGUGAGCGAGCUCGGCGGCGGCGUGCUGGACGCCACCAAGGCCGUCGCCAUGUUCCAGGCGCUGGCCGUCAAGAAGGGCGCCGUCCUCAGGGACAACAAGGAGGUCGUCGGUAUCGUCAAGGAGGAGGGAGGGCCUGGCGUCCGGGUGACGACGAGCGACGGCGAGGAGUUCCACGGCGCCAAAUGCAUCGUGACCGUCGGCGCUUGGACGAGCAAGCUGGUCAGGUCCGUCGCCGGCCUGGAGCUGCCCGUCCAGCCGCUGCACAUGCUCACCCUGUACUGGAAGAUCAAGCCGGGCCACGAGCGAGACCUCACUGCGGCGGCCGGGUUCCCGACGUUCUCCAGCUACGGGGACCCCCACGUGUACAGCACGCCGUCGCUGGAGCUCCCGGGCCUGAUCAAAAUCAACUACGACGGCGGGCCGCCGUGCGACCCCAACAGCCGGGACUGGAUCUCCGGUGGUGGCGACGCCGCCGAUCGGGUCGCGCGGUGGAUCGAGGAGUUCAUGCCGGGGCACGUGGUGACCGACGGCGGGCCGGUCGUUCGGCAGUCAUGCAUGUACUCCAUGACUCCGGACAAAGACUUCGUGAUCGACUUCCUCGGCGGGGAGUUCGGGCAGGACGUGGUGCUCGGGGCCGGGUUCUCUGGGCAUGGGUUUAAGAUGGGACCGGCGGUGGGGAUGAUCCUCGCCGAGCUGGCCAUCGACGGCGAGGCCAGGACUGCGGCAGAGGCCGGGGUGGAGCUCCGGCACUUUAAAAUCAAUCGGUUUAAGGGCAAUCCCACGGGUAACAGCAAGGACGAUUAA
rnacentral:rRNA from 1 species